AGACUGGGAUAACUUCGGGAAACCGGAGCUAAUACCGGAUAAUAUUUUGAACCGCAUGGUUCAAAAGUGAAAGACGGUCUUGCUGUCACUUAUAGAUGGAUCCGCGCUGCAUUAGCUAGUUGGUAAGGUAACGGCUUACCAAGGCAACGAUGCAUAGCCGACCUGAGAGGGUGAUCGGCCACACUGGAACUGAGACACGGUCCAGACUCCUACGGGAGGCAGCAGUAGGGAAUCUUCCGCAAUGGGCGAAAGCCUGACGGAGCAACGCCGCGUGAGUGAUGAAGGUCUUCGGAUCGUAAAACUCUGUUAUUAGGGAAGAACAUAUGUGUAAGUAACUGUGCACAUCUUGACGGUACCUAAUCAGAAAGCCACGGCUAACUACGUGCCAGCAGCCGCGGUAAUACGUAGGUGGCAAGCGUUAUCCGGAAUUAUUGGGCGUAAAGCGCGCGUAGGCGGUUUUUUAAGUCUGAUGUGAAAGCCCACGGCUCAACCGUGGAGGGUCAUUGGAAACUGGAAAACUUGAGUGCAGAAGAGGAAAGUGGAAUUCCAUGUGUAGCGGUGAAAUGCGCAGAGAUAUGGAGGAACACCAGUGGCGAAGGCGACUUUCUGGUCUGUAACUGACGCUGAUGUGCGAAAGCGUGGGGAUCAAACAGGAUUAGAUACCCUGGUAGUCCACGCCGUAAACGAUGAGUGCUAAGUGUUAGGGGGUUUCCGCCCCUUAGUGCUGCAGCUAACGCAUUAAGCACUCCGCCUGGGGAGUACGACCGCAAGGUUGAAACUCAAAGGAAUUGACGGGGACCCGCACAAGCGGUGGAGCAUGUGGUUUAAUUCGAAGCAACGCGAAGAACCUUACCAAAUCUUGACAUCCUUUGACAACUCUAGAGAUAGAGCCUUCCCCUUCGGGGGACAAAGUGACAGGUGGUGCAUGGUUGUCGUCAGCUCGUGUCGUGAGAUGUUGGGUUAAGUCCCGCAACGAGCGCAACCCUUAAGCUUAGUUGCCAUCAUUAAGUUGGGCACUCUAAGUUGACUGCCGGUGACAAACCGGAGGAAGGUGGGGAUGACGUCAAAUCAUCAUGCCCCUUAUGAUUUGGGCUACACACGUGCUACAAUGGACAAUACAAAGGGCAGCGAAACCGCGAGGUCAAGCAAAUCCCAUAAAGUUGUUCUCAGUUCGGAUUGUAGUCUGCAACUCGACUACAUGAAGCUGGAAUCGCUAGUAAUCGUAGAUCAGCAUGCUACGGUGAAUACGUUCCCGGGUCUUGUACACACCGCCCGUCACACCACGAGAGUUUGUAACACCCGAAGCCGGUGGAGUAACCUUUUAGGAGCUAGCCGUCGAAGGUGGGACAAAUGAUUGGGGUGAAGUCGUAACAAGGUAGCCGUAUCGGAAGGUGCGGCUGGAUCACCUCCUUU
rnacentral:rRNA from 1 species